AGUGGCGGAAGGGUGAGUAAACGUAUCGAACGUACCCCGAGGUGGGGGAUAGGCAUGGGAAACUGUGCGUAAUACCCCAUGAUCUCGAGAGAGCAAAGCUCCGGCGCCUUGGGAGCGGCGAUACACCUAUCAGGUAGUUGGCGGGGUAAUGGCCCACCAAGCCGAAGACGGGUAGCAGGUGUGAGAGCACGGCCUGCCACAUCGGGACUGAGACACUGCCCGGACUCCUACGGGAGGCUGCAGUAACGAAUAUUCCGCAAUGCGCGAAAGCGUGACGGAGCGACGCCGCGUGCAGGAUGAAGCGGCUACGCCGUGUAAACUGCUGUCAGGGACUACUAACCAUGAAGGGUCCCGGAGGAAGGGCCGGCUAAACUCGUGCCAGCAGCCGCGGUAAUACGAGUGGCCCGAGCGUUAAUCGGAAUCACUGGGCUUAAAGGGUGCGUAGGCGGGUCGUUAAGUGUCUUGUGAAAUCCCCUGGCUCAACCAGGGGACCGCAGGGCAUACUGGCGAUCUCGAGGAAGCUAGAGGCGGGUGGAACGAUAGGUGGAGCGGUGGAAUGCGUAGAUAUCUAUCGGAACGCCGAAGGUGAAGACAGCCCGCUGGGGCUUUCCUGACGCUGAGGCACGAAAGCGUGGGGAGCAAACGGGAUUAGAUACCCUGGUAGUCCACGCCCUAAACGAUGCACGUUAGA
rnacentral:rRNA from 1 species